rnacentral:misc_RNA from 1 species
GAUAGGGGAUAUAAGUAUGCCAUGUCUGAAUUGGUUAUCCCAGCAAUUAACAAGUUUGAACCUGAUAUGCUAGUUAUGGUUGUUGGCCAAGAUUCGAGUGCUUUUGAUCCAAAUGGAAGGCAGUGCUUGACAUUGAAUGGAUAUCGAAUGAUAGGGGGAAUGACUCGUAGUCUGGCAAAUGGACACUGUAGUGGACGCCUUCUUAUUGUUCAAGAAGGCGGAUAUCAUAUUACUUACUCAGCUUAUUGUCUUCAUGCAACCCUUGAAGGUGUGCUCAGCCUUCCACUGCCUCUAUUAUCUGAUCCCAUUGCAUAUUACCCAGAGGAUGAAGCUUUUGCCGUAAAAGUUGUUGAAUCCAUCAAAAAGUUCCAGAAAGACAAUGUUCCAUUUUUAAAGGGAGCUUGAUUUGGAGGUGAAAUUAUUUUUCAGCCAUUAACUGGAGGUCUUUGAUGAUGCCACAUCCAUUCAUUGCCAGACAUGCAAGCUCACAAUUAUACACAAUUUUCAGUAAUUUGUUGCUUUGUCUAGCCAGUAG